CCGCUCGACUACUCAGGGCCUCGCUGCAUCCCACACUCCUUUGUGCCGGCUGGGCGGCAUCCUGCCCUGCUCUCUGCCAUCCAGAAGCUACCCAGAAGGCCGCCAAGCCAGCCUCUGCCCCUGCCCAUGCACUCGGGCCCCCGGGCUCAGCGGGCGGCAGGUCUGGGACUCUUGUCCCCACUGUGGCAAUCGGCUCUCCUCCAGGCCUGCAAGGCUGAGCUGUAGGAAUGCAGCCGCCUGGUGGAUGCAGGGAGUCCGCGCCCAGAAUUACUCAUGGAGUGAGGUCACUGCAACGCUCUGUUCUCAUGGGGGAAUGUGCUCGCUGCUUCAGACAGACAGUCCUGCCUGACAAGCAGCUGCUGCUCACCCAGCCCAGCUCCCAGCGCGCCCGGGGCAGCAAACUAUCCCCGCAACGGAGGGUUUUAAAAAGGGGACUGCUUCCUGUUUCAGGGGAAAGAUCCACCCUCCUCAAACAGGGUCUGGUUUCUUCUUGCUCCAGCUCGGUCAUCAUGACCGAGGAGACACGCAGCUUCAAUACUUCAGAAUGCAGCGUCACCCUCGAGGCUGGGAGGCGCGCGCCGUCAGGCAGCUGGGCCCCGGCGACGUCACCCUUGGGGAGAUGCUCUGUAGAUGGGGCUGUCUGCCUGACUUUCGCUCCCACUAGGCCGAUCCUGCCCUCACACGCCUGGAUCACCACAGAUCCCGGCACCAGCUCCCUGUGUACCCGGUGGCCAGAGGGUCAGAGCAGGGAUCCAGCCUGAGACACGGACCCAAAGGAGCCACCUUCUCUCAAUCACCUGACCCUCCAAGUAAAUAACGGACCCCUGGAAUCAGGAUUUCCAAAAACUACAGUUUAAGACAACUGAAAAGUCCACAAAAAUCAAGAAAAAAAAUCCUUUUUUCAAAUAAGGAAAACCCAAGCAAACUAUGGUCAGACCACACGUGACAUGUCUUUAAGGAAGGGGGCCUCUAUUUUAAAUAGGCCCCAUGGGGAAAAUUUAUGGCACGCGGGUUGUUUGGUGAAAUGGAGUCACUGUGCCCACAAAAACCACGGAGCUUACGAGAGGUCCCGACCACAGACCUUCCCCAGCUCCGUCCACUGGAGUCUCCACCACCUCGUUUCCCCGGCUCUCCGGCUCCUGAACAUCCGGUCUGAUCCCGCUGACAGCCCUGCGCGGCCCUGUGGGGCUAGUGGUGGGCUCCUCGCAGUCGUCACUCUCAAGGACCGUGUGGCAGCUGCGUGCCGGUCACUUCGAUGUCCCCUCCACUGAACAGGCCAGCCUCGCCCCCAAGAACGCAGUGACAGCUGGGAGCCAGUUCCCCCAACCUCAGCUCUCCCUUCUCACACCAAAACAACACAAGGCGCUCCUGAGAAACCGUACUUUGUUGCUGGCAGUGGUCGGGAAUGUAAGUAGCUCAUAGGAUGCCUGUUUUCACAGUGGAAGACGAUUCCACCAGUGGACUCAGGGGCAUGGGGAGACAAUUCUGAACUCUGCACAGCUGCUGCCGAAGAACCCGAAAAAGCUAGAAUGUCAAGAGGUCAGAUUUAAACAUACUUUCCCAAAUGACAGUAUUUUUAGUAGCAAGACAUUCCACUAGGAACUUGGAGCUGCCGACUGGGAACUGGCAUGGAGCCCUCCCUCCUUUCCUGGGAUGUGGCUCUCAGUCUCAAACUUGCAAGCAGACGAAACAAUAAAAGCCAAGACUCACUCAACCAUCAGAACUCCCGGCAACUGUGUCUGCUUAUCCACAGGUCCCCCCGCGAGGAGAGGAGAGGAGAGGAGGAGAGGGAGGGCUUAUUCCGCGUCAGUUUUAUUCUCACUCCCCCGGCUCGGACAGAGGUCAUCGAAGACCCCGGGGCAGGGACAGGGCCGCCCUGGCUGAGGGGGCGCUGAGCAGUCUCCGUCUGCACGCUCCCUCCCGGGGAGGCCUGGUCUCGGGGCCUCGGCGAGCUGGCACGGGGAGGGCUUAUUAAAUUUCCGUUCUGGAGCAACAAAACAUGACUUCACUUCGAAGGCAUUUUCAUGGAGAGCGAGAAAGUGGUCUAAUAGGUUCCUCGUUUCCAGGACUGACACGGACACAGAUCCCCAGCUCUGAUGGUUCACAGCGGCUGGCAGCGGUCAGGCUGGCCAGGACACAGGGUCCAGUGAGCCGCUGCCUCUCGCUGCGGCGGUGACCACACCCAGCCUGGCCGUUUCUACCUGUCUCCUCAUUGAUAAAGGAGAACUCGGUCUGCCCCCUCCAUCGCUCGGACGGACGGAGAGACAAGGCGUGGGAGGAAAACAGUCACGCUCCUAAGUGAGCGUGAGUUACUUGUUCUCUCUCUUGCCUGCCUUACAGGCUACUAGGGGACAACGGGCUUUUAUCUAUUUCACUUCUGUAGCCUUUUUCCCGAGAAUACUACUCUUCUUUAAACAAAAGAACCCUACAACAUUUCUUCUUUUAAAAAGUUAUUUGCUUGAAUAACUUUUUUUGUAGAAGACUGGACUGGUCACUUCAACAUCAUUUUAUGGUGACAUCACAUUUGCUGUGGACACAGGAAUCAGGCUGGAUCCACAGCUACUCAGGCUAAUCUGAAAAUGUCCAGAGAAACAGCAGCAAGAAAUGGGAAGAAAAAGCCAAGAGGGAAUGGCUUGCUUUGGCAAGUUCAUGGGAAUAUCAGUCUGAAACAUGAUCUCUUCUAACGACCAGCACAGCCUCACCACAGAGGAAUGGAGCUGACCUUCUGACACAGCAGCAGCAGCCGCAGCAGCACAGCCGGG